GGUGCUGACUCUUGCCUUUGCUUCCCCAACUGACAGUUAGUAAAACAUGGGCCUGCGAUGAACAAAACCUCCAGAGAGGAACCGUAUAUUUCAAGCAUUUUUUGUCUCUGAAAAGAAGCCUGGAGUCCAGAAACUUCUGUGACGUAUGUUUAUCAUCUCAGUCUUUGUGCUGAUUGGACCUGGGUGACCGUGGACCUGCAUGAUUGGGAAGAAACACAAUCAGCUUUUCAGACAUGUCUACACCUGGAAAGCUUCACAAAAGAGUUUUUUCUCUUUGGCUUCCUUUCUGAACCGUUUUUGUUGUAGAGCUCCAGGCAGAAGCAGCUCUGAGCGAAACUGGGCACAAGGGAAAUUUCUCUCUGACAUUUUCCCACCUUUUCCAUCUGGAUCCUCUCUUCCUGCCCUCCACUCCCUCCAGCCUCCUCCACUUCCAAUACUGAAUUCCAACCACAGGCACAGGAUUUCUGACAGUUAAAAAUCAUUUCCCCUUCCAGAAAGAUGAAGGAUCACGUUUCCCCCUUCUGCCCAACUGCAGCCAUCUGGGAGCAUAGCGUUGCAUAUUGUUCUUCCUGUGCAGUGUUGAAAUAAGUUUCUUGGCCCAAGAUGGAGCUGCUUCUGCCCAGGGUGCCAUGUCAGCAAAGCAAAACUUAGACAACUUUUGUGUCCCUGGAAAUGUUCCACUUGAUCAGAAAGGUGGUUCCCCAAACACGAAGCCAACUCUGGGGUCUCUACUUACUUCCUUGUUCCUUCUUUAGCCUACAAAAGCUUCCUGCAUUCCGCCCCAUUUUGACGUUCUGACUGUUCACUUCAUGAAGUAUCAAAUAAAGUUUGUUUGUAUCACCUAA